rnacentral:rRNA from 1 species
GUAAUAGUUAUGUUCUUGAAACUUAAAAAAUUUGGCGGUAUUUUAGUCUAUUCAGAGGAACUUGUUGUGUAAUUGAUAAUCCACGUUGGACCUUACUUAGAUUUGUUAAUUAUCAGUUUAUAUACCGUCGUUAUCAGAAUAUUUUAUAAGAAAAAUAAUUUUCAAAAAUUUUAAUUAAAAUUUAUUUCAGAUCAAGGUGUAGCUUAUAUUUAAGUAUUAAUGAGUUACAAUAAAAAUAUUUAUAUGGAUAUUAAUAUGAAAAAUUAAUUUAAGGUGGAUUUGAAAGUAAAAUUUAUAGAGAU